rnacentral:rRNA from 1 species
GUAGGGAGCAAGCGUUGUCCGGAUUUACUGGGUGUAAAGGGUGCGUAGGCGGCUUUGCAAGUCAGAUGUGAAAUCUAUGGGCUCAACCCAUAAACUGCAUUUGAAACUGUAGAGCUUGAGUGAAGUAGAGGCAGGCGGAAUUCCCCGUGUAGCGGUGAAAUGCGUAGAGAUGGGGAGGAACACCAGUGGCGAAGGCGGCCUGCUGGGCUUUAACUGACGCUGAGGCACGAAAGCGUGGGUAGCAAACAGGAUUAGAUACCCUGGUAGUCCACGCUGUAAACGAUGAUUACUAGGUGUGGGGGGUCUGACCCCUUCCGUGCCGGAGUUAACACAAUAAGUAAUCCACCUGGAGAGUACGGCCGCAAGGUUG